rnacentral:rRNA from 1 species
GAGCGGCGGACGGGUGAGUAAUGCCUAGGAAUCUGCCUGGUAGUGGGGGAUAACGCUCGGAAACGGACGCUAAUACCGCAUACGUCUACGGGAGAAAGCAGGGGACCUUCGGGCCUUGCGCUAUCAGAUGAGCCUAGGUCGGAUUAGCUAGUUGGUGAGGUAAUGGCUCACCAAGGCGACGAUCCGUAACUGGUCUGAGAGGAUGAUCAGUCACACUGGAACUGAGACACGGUCCAGACUCCUACGGGAGGCAGCAGUGGGGAAUAUUGGACAAUGGGCGAAAGCCCGAUCCAGCCAUGCCGCGUGUGUGAAGAAGGUCUUCGGAUUGUAAAGCACUUUAAGUUGGGAGGAAGGGCAGUAAAUUAAUACUUUGCUGUUUUGACGUUACCGACAGAAUAAGCACCGGCUAACUCUGUGCCAGCAGCCGCGGUAAUACAGAGGGUGCAAGCGUUAAUCGGAAUUACUGGGCGUAAAGCGCGCGUAGGUGGUUCGUUAAGUUGGAUGUGAAAUCCCCGGGCUCAACCUGGGAACUGCAUUCAAAACUGUCGAGCUAGAGUAUGGUAGAGGGUGGUGGAAUUUCCUGUGUAGCGGUGAAACGCGUAGAUAUAGGAAGGAACACCAGUGGCGAAGGCGACCACCUGGACUGAUAC